rnacentral:tRNA from 2 species
GCAUCAGAAGCUCAACGCCAGAGCGCCGGUCUUGUAAGCCGGAAGUUGGAGGUUAAAAUCCUCCCUUUUGCU